rnacentral:rRNA from 1 species
CGAAAAGGUGCCGAGCCGAGCGAGCGGGCUCCCCUUUUUUUCCUCUUCUCCCUCUCUCUCUCUCUCUCGAGCGGGCGAGCUCCUGCGGGCAAGGAGAAGGAGGCGUUCUUUAUCCGCGUUUGUGUUGUUGUGUCACCUCGGUUGCCUUAGGGGUUUAGCUAGAGAGCAGAGGCCCGGCUCUUGGGGGUUAAGGGUCAGGGGUCGGGGGUAAGGUCAGCGGGACUAGGAGGGGGCGUCCGCUAAGCAGCCUCAAGCGGCGGGGAGCGCCGGGGCGGCCCAAGACACUAAGGCGGAGCCCCUAGAGAGGCGACGAGCGGCCGGUCGGUACCGCGGCCGAAGCCGAGGCCGAGGCCGCAACCUGCAGCUCCCGCUCCAGCCGCCGCCGUUGUCGGUCUUGCGCGACUUCAGGCUUCGGCUGCCCCUCGCAAGGCAGCGAGGGUUCUGCCCUCCGCCAAGACACGGACCACUUAAGGCGAGUCUACUGGGCCGGUGUCUACAGACACUCCUGCCAUAGCUGAGGAGUCUACAGGGACGGGACCGACACCUACACUUGCCGCUCCCGCCGCCCCGGUUCCUCUUAGACCCGUUCCACGCCCACUUUAGGCUCGGCCUCGUGAAACUCCCGCUUCCGCGGCAAGAGCGGGGAACGUGGCCCGGACGCCCACGGUUAAAACACCCCUAUCGAAGGAGGAGGAGGAUAUUUGACGGACACCGUUCAGGCCUCCUGAGCUGACUGCUCGCUCCUCCCCUAUCGUGUCUCACGAGCUCGAGCAAGCGUCUGAGACCACUACUCCGUCCGUUACCACUGGACCUUCACUUAAGAGGGAAAAGUCAAGUACGAUUACCGCCAGUUUGGAGGCGCUACGGGUCUUCCUUUUUCCAUUGACGGCUCACCUCCUUACGCCAGGCGGGUUACGACACCUCUACACUCACCAAUCUCGACGCGUACUUCCUAGAAAAUAGAGUUCAUAGUUUCAUACUGUCGGUCGAACGAGAGUAGCUCGUCCUUUUUCUCAACGUCUCUCGUUGUUCGUUCUGUUUACCAACAUCCGUUCUUAGACCCUUCUUGACGUCUCUGGUACUUUGAUAAUCGUACCUCUCCUCUUUCGCGUUUUCUGUACUUCUGUGGCACCUGUGUAGUAACAUGGAGUUCUUCGUGUUCUAUAAUAGUAUGAAGAAACUAUUCGUUUUGUUCCCUCGACUGCGUCUACCGGAGAAUUAACUACUACUAUCAGUACCAGUUCAACCCCUACUAUGAUCUGCGGCGGAGCUUUAACAACCAAACGGACGCAGGUUCCUUAUACUAUACCGAAGGUUGGUUAAACACAAUGUUUUUCAAGAGUACUUUUAACCACCAUAGGUCAGAGCUCAAGUAGCAGAUGUUCUCGCAGAGUCGUUCCGAGCGAGAUUUGUUCGUUUCAACCGUAGAAAGUACCUAGUACUGGUCCAGUUCCACCGACUCUUCUCCGUUUCCUAUGUUUUUGCACGUAAGAGAGGACUCUUACUAGCUAUACGAUUCGGUGUCUUUUUCUUCUUCGAUUUGUAAAACGACCUCGUCCUCCUAUCUGGUUGAGACAGUCAUUUAGGGUGUAACAGACUCUCCCGUUGACUAACAAAUUAUCUUCUAGGUGUCCCAUUAUCACUUCUUUUUCGAGAUCUCUCCUCGGUCCGUGUAUUCUUUCUGUAGUGUCGCCUAGAUGAAGAUCGACAACUUUCAAGGAAUGGUUUACCAGUAAACCCUCUAAACACGUUUCUUUUGUGACUACUAUAGGAGUAUCUGUUGGUUCCCCGGUUUCUACCCAUAGUCGGCAAACUCUUGUGGUUCGUAGGGGGACUCCUUGGUGGACACGAAUAACUCUUACAACGAUUUUGACGAGGUAGCUUUCAACCCUUAUGGAGACUUGGUCACCUUCGGCUCUUUUCAAACCAGGGUGACCAAUUCGUUCUUCAUUGAUAACCUUUUGACGGUCAAAACUUCGUACAGAUGAGACCUUUCUUUGCACCUUCCUGUGGGUUCUGUCUUCUAUACCUGAGACGUCGACGUAGGUUCUUGGUGUUAUUUCUCCGGAGGCUUUGUGGAAGACGUUUCGUCUUUCGACUUCGUUGUGGGACGCGACUUUUGCUCUUGCGACCGAGUUUCUUCGUCUUUUGUCACCUGUAAGCCAGAGGAAGUUUAUUCAGUUUGAGACCCUUAAGAACAAGUCGACGUCUCUUCGACUUUUAACCUUUGAGUAGGAGUCGACGUUUCCGCGUCUUUAGACCUUCGAGUAGGAGUAGGCGUUUCCGAGGUUUUUGUCCUUUGAGUAGGAGUCUACCUUUAUUCGUCCGUCGACCUUUGAGUAGUAGUCGACGCUUCUUCGGUUUUUACCCCUUGAGUAGGAGCCUACCUUUCUUCGUCCGUCGACCUUUGAGUAAGUGUCGACACUUCGGUUUUUGUCCUUUCAGUAGAGGUCUACCUUUCUUCGUCCGUCGACCUUUGAACAGGCGUGGACGUUCCUGCCUCUACUCACUUUUGUAGGUGUGGUUAGAAUCCUAACUCUUCCGAUAGAACCACCUCCACUUGUCGUCCUCCUCAGUUUCCCAUGCUUUCGGAUUCCAAAUGACUUCGUUUUGGCCUGACGAGUUUAAGUCCCAUCACAUUAAUACUUUUUGUCCAGAACAAAUAGUUAGAUAGGGAAGGCAGAACGACUUCAAGCAUCGAUAUAACUGUCGCCGAAGAGCGUUUCAUUAAAUCACAUCUAUAAGGAUUGGAAAAGCAAACCCAGUGGUUUGAUUUUUAUACGAAGAAUACAUAUCAACAAGAAACGACUCGAACACUACGUUUAUACGAACGUGAACCACAGAGAGAUGACGUAACAAACAAGUCAAAACUGUGAAGGUCAACAUAAGUGGAUCGUAAACAAAGGAGGGAACCAACCACUACAAACUCAGUCCGGUCUGGAGGUGGGAAGAUGAUGAGGCAGGGUGUUAUAUUCUAGCAAAACGCUCGACAAAAUCGAACGUUCUGCUAGAAUAUAAUGCCCUGCCUCAUAUAACGUCCAACUUCUGCUAUUUUAAUACACGGGGUAUUAAGUAAUCAACUCCGCUUAGUCAGACGGGAGGACUACCUCUGUUACUACUAACUAUUGUGGUUUUCUAGUUGGGAACGUGGAAGUCAACCAGUGAACUGUGUCUGACGGUUUCUUCCGAAUUAAGGGUAAGUUUUUCUCUUCCGAAUUAAGAGACACUGUCUCUUAGUCUCCUGUCGCUCCUCAUUAGAACCUAAAUGACCAGCCUUAUAAAUGGGAAGAUCCUUCUCUCCUUUAACCACAAGUCUUUUCGAAGUUCGACCGUCUUUUUCAACGUAACUAUUACCUUAUUCGCGUUGGAAAGGAAAGUAUCCAUGUAGGAAGAUUGGUUAUGAAAAUUGUCAAACGUUGGACACUAUAUCGAGUACAGUACCUCAUCUACACAGGAUCGAAAUACUGGCAAGUUUGAGUAAGCAUUCGCAGUCGUACGAAAAGACACAUGUAAACUACCCUCGUAUGAUCUAUAUACCAGACAAACACCGUAUUGAUUUAUCUCAGUAUAACUUGACGACUUCUAAAGUUCUGGUCCAUCCAAUAGAGAGAAUAGCGUAUGUCGACUUCUUCAAGUCGGAAAAACGACACCCUCCACGCACUAUCACUAGACCACUUCCUACGCCUCUGAUGUCGAUUGCCGGACUGACCACGUAGGCCACUAAAUGACAACUUCUCGUAAUGAACAUUAUUUUAUAGGAGUAUUUAAACUUUAAUUCAUUAGGACCAUUUGAAAUUAGUCUAACAUUUCUCGAUUUUGAAACACCCUUCUUCAAAA